rnacentral:sRNA from 1 species
CCCUGCCUCAAGUCACGCGCUAGGA